AUGAAAAUAUAUAGUACAAGUGAAAGGGCCUUGCUUCACAUCGAGUGGGUCUGGCUCUGUGAAAACCUCACUAUGUUGCCCUUAUUUUUCUCAUUUUGCCACAAACAGAUGAGAACAUGGCAACAGCUGGCAGUGGGCACCCUGUCCGUGGGCUCACAUUCCAGGAACCACUGGGGCCUUGCAGUCCCCACCUGGGCCCAAGGACCAAGGAGUCCAGUGACCUCAUGCCGUCACCUCCCACAGACCAGGGAGGCUGCCCUCAAGAAUAUGUCCUCCAUUUACUCUGCAUUGCUGAUGACCGGCCAGGCGCCCAGAGGCUGGGAAAAAGUAGAUAUGGCCCCCAAGUCCCACCUUGGGAGGCGUCCUGCUGGAGAGAAAACCCAUUCUCCACUUAGGGCAUUUCCAUGCUCAGGGCCCCAGAUGUAAGGGUAAAUCCUGAGGUAAGCAAAGCCCGGGGUUCUUUGGGAGCUGACCAAGCACUGGCUGGGAUCUGGGGCUAGGUUGCUCAAAGCCUCCUUUAUCUGCUCACGACUGAGAGCCGGCUCCUUGGGCCUCUGUUCAGCUCUGGCUGAGGGCGUCCACACAACACGACCCUAAACCCACUGCCUGGAGGCCACCUGUGCCAGGGGAGAGGGCCGGGAGGCAGGGGCCUGCUUCUCACCCGGGCCUUGGUCCCAUUUCAUACUUCCUGCCCACCCUCUGCCCUGAACUCCAGACUGGGUGCAGGAGGGGUGUUUCAACUAACGUGUCCAAAGUGUGAGCUCCCAGGAUCCCUCCAAACCUGCCCCUCCUCCAGCCUGCCCCCCCCCCCCAACUGCCUUCUUCCAGAAUCGGGCAGACCUUAGCACAGGCCUUCCAGCUCUCACCCAGCAUCCAGUCUAUCAGAAAAUGCUGUCACUCUGCCUUGGAAUUAGUCCCUCACCUGCCUCCGUCGCCAUGACCUGAUCUAAGCCAACAUCAUCACAAUGGCAUCUGCCCUCGGCCCCUUCACUCUAUUCCCAGCACAGUGACCAGGGAUUUUAUUAAAAAAUAAGUUAGAUUAGGGACGCCUGGGUAGCUCAGUCGGUUAAGCGUCCGACUUCAGCUCAGGUCAUGAUCUCCUUGUUCGUUAAGUUCGAGCCCCGCAUCGGGCUCUGUGCUGACGGGUCAGAGCCUGGAGCCUGCUUCACUUCGGAUUCUCUGUCUCCCUCUCUCUUUGCCCCUCCCCUGCUCAUACUCUGUCUCUCAAAAGGUGAAUAAACAUUAAAAAAAAAAAGUUAUAUUUUGUCA
rnacentral:lncRNA from 1 species